AGAGUUUGAUCCUGGCUCAGAUUGAACGCUGGCGGCAUGCCUUACACAUGCAAGUCGAACGGCAGCAUGGAGAGCUUGCUCUCUGAUGGCGAGUGGCGAACGGGUGAGUAAUACAUCGGAACGUGUCCGUUUGUGGGGGACAACCGUCCGAAAGGAUGGCUAAUACCGCAUGAGACCUGAGGGUGAAAGCCGGGGACCGCAAGGCCCGGCGCAGACGGAGCGGCCGAUGAUUGAUUAGCUAGUUGGGGAGGUAAAGGCUCACCAAGGCGACGAUCAAUAGCUGGUCUGAGAGGACGACCAGCCACACUGGAACUGAGACACGGUCCAGACUCCUACGGGAGGCAGCAGUGGGGAAUUUUGGACAAUGGGGGCAACCCUGAUCCAGCCAUGCCGCGUGCGGGAAGAAGGCCUUCGGGUUGUAAACCGCUUUUGUCAGGGACGAAAAGCUCCGGAGUAAUAUGCCGGAGUGCUGACGGUACCUGAAGAAUAAGCACCGGCUAACUACGUGCCAGCAGCCGCGGUAAUACGUAGGGUGCAAGCGUUAAUCGGAAUUACUGGGCGUAAAGCGUGCGCAGGCGGUUGGGUAAGACAGAUGUGAAAUCCCCGGGCUUAACCUGGGAACUGCAUUUGUGACUGUCCGACUGGAGUACGUCAGAGGGGGGUGGAAUUCCACGUGUAGCAGUGAAAUGCGUAGAUAUGUGGAAGAACACCGAUGGCGAAGGCAGCCCCCUGGGACGCAACUGACGCUCAUGCACGAAAGCGUGGGGAGCAAACAGGAUUAGAUACCCUGGUAGUCCACGCCCUAAACGAUGUCUGCUGGUUGUUGGGAAUUUAAUUCUCAGUAACGAAGCCAACGCGUGAAGCAGACCGCCUGGGGAGUACGGUCGCAAGAUUAAAACUCAAAGGAAUUGACGGGGACCCGCACAAGCGGUGGAUGAUGUGGAUUAAUUCGAUGCAACGCGAAAAACCUUACCCAGCCUUGACAUGUCAGGAAUGCCUCGGAGAUGAGGCAGUGCCCGCAAGGGAACCUGAGCACAGGUGCUGCAUGGCUGUCGUCAGCUCGUGUCGUGAGAUGUUGGGUUAAGUCCCGCAACGA
rnacentral:rRNA from 1 species